rnacentral:rRNA from 1 species
AGGCACACGGCGUAAGCGUGUUAAAGCACUAUACCAAAUAAAGUUAAACUCCAAUUAAGCUGUAAAAAGCCAUAAUUGCAACAAAAAUAAACAACGAAAGUAACUUUACAACCGCUGAAACACGAUAGCUAGGACUCAAACUGGGAUUAGAUACCCCACUAUGCCUAGCCUUAAACACAAAUAGUUGUGUAAACAAAACUAUUCGCCAGAGUACUACCGGCAAUAGCUUAAAACUCAAAGGACUUGGCGGUGCUUUAUACCCUUCUAGAGGAGCCUGUUCUAUAAUCGAUAAACCCCGAUAAACCUCACCAUUCCUUGCUAAUACAGUCUAUAUACCGCCAUCUUCAGCAAACCCUAAAAAGGUACAAAAGUAAGCACAAUCAUAAUACAUAAAAACGUUAGGUCAAGGUGUAACCUAUGGAACGGAAAGAAAUGGGCUACAUUUUCUAAUCUAAGAAAAUCCAACACGAAAGUUAUUAUGAAAUUAAUAACCAAAGGAGGAUUUAGCAGUAAACUAAGAAUAGAGUGCUUAGUUGAAUUAGGCCAUGAAGCACGCACACACCGCCCGUCACCCUCCUCAAGUAAGCACAAUACACUCAAAUUUAUUUACGCGUAUUAAUCAUAUGAGAGGAGACAAGUCGUA